UUAUAAAAAAUCUUAGGUUGGGGCAACCACGAAGAAAAAACAAUCUUCGUUUUUUAUAAAAAUUUACAAAUUUAAAAUUUUAAAAAAAGAUCCAGAAAAUCUGAUCAAAGAAAAAAGUUACCGCAGGGAUAACAGCGUUAUUUUCUUUAAGAGUUCAUAUUGACAAGAAAGUUUGCGACCUCGAUGUUGGACCGGGGUAUCCCAGAGGUGCAAAAGCCUCUAAAGGUAGGUCUGUUCGACCUUUAAAACCCUACGCGAUCUGAGUUCAGACCGACGCAAGUCAGGUCAGUUUCUAUCUA
rnacentral:rRNA from 1 species